rnacentral:rRNA from 1 species
UACGAAGGGGGCUAGCGUUGCUCGGAAUCACUGGGCGUAAAGCGCACGUAGGCGGCUUUUUAAGUCAGGGGUGAAAUCCUGGAGCUCAACUCCAGAACUGCCUUUGAUACUGGGAAGCUUGAGUCCGGGAGAGGUGAGUGGAACUCCGAGUGUAGAGGUGAAAUUCGUAGAUAUUCGGAAGAACACCAGUGGCGAAGGCGGCUCACUGGCCCGGUACUGACGCUGAGGUGCGAAAGCGAUGGGGAGCGAACGAGG